CGACGACCGGCGCACGGGUGAGUAACGCGUAUGGAACCUGCCUACAACAGGGGGAUAGCUUCCGGAAACGGGAAUUAAUACCCCAUAAUGUUUGGUUGUGGCUUCACAAGCAGACCAAAGCUUCGGCGGUUGUAGAUGGCCAUGCGUACCAUUAGUUAGUUGGUGAGGUAACGGCUCACCAAGGCAGCGAUGGUUAGGGGUCCUGAGAGGGUAGUCCCCCACACUGGUACUGAGACACGGACCAGACUCCUACGGGAGGCAGCAGUGAGGAAUAUUGGUCAAUGGGCGCUAGCCUGAACCAGCCAUGCCGCGUGCAGGAAGACGGCCCUACGGGUUGUAAACUGCUUUUCUGCGGGAAGAACCUCUUGUACUUGUACANAGAUUGACGGUACUGCAGGAAUAAGCAUCGGCUAACUCCGUGCCAGCAGCCGCGGUAAUACGGAGGAUGCAAGCGUUAUCCGGAUUCAUUGGGUUUAAAGGGUGCGCAGGCGGUGGAGCAAGUCAGUGGUGAAAGCCCGGAGCUCAACUUCGGGAUUGCCAUUGAAACUGUUUCACUUGAGUGUAGUCGAGGACGGCGGAAUGAGUUGUGUAGCGGCGAAAUGCAUAGAUAUAACUCAGAACACCAAUUGCGAAGGCAGCUGUCUAGACUAACAACUGACGCUGAGGCACGAAAGCGUGGGGAGCCGACCGGAUUAGAUACCCUGGUAGUUCACGGCUGUAAACCGAUGAUCACUCGUUGUUGGCUACUUGGGUAGUCAGUGACUAAGGGAAACCCAUUAAGUGAUCCCACCUGGGGAGUACGUCGGCAACGAUGAAACUCAAAGGAAUUGACGGGGCCCAGCACAAGCGGAGGAACAUGUGGUUUAAUUCGAUGAUACGCGAGGAACCUUACCUGGGCUUAAAUGCAGGCUGCAUUCCCGUGAAAGCGGGAUUUCCUACGGGACUGCCAGCAAGGUGCUGCAUGGUUGUCGUCAGCUCGUGCCGUGAGGUGUCGGGUUAAGUCCCAUAACGAGCGCAACCCCUAUCGCUAGUCGCCAGCAUGUAAUGGUGGGGACUCUAGCGAGACUGCCGGUGUAAACCGGAGGAAGGUGGGGACGACGUCAAAUCAGCACGGCCCUUACGUCCAGGGCUACACACGUGUUACAAUGG
rnacentral:rRNA from 1 species